rnacentral:rRNA from 1 species
GAUGAACGCUAGCUACAGGCUUAACACAUGCAAGUCGAGGGGUAACAAGGGGAAAGCUUGCUUUCCUUGUUGACGACCGGCGCACGGGUGAGUAACGCGUAUCCAACCUGCCUAUAACUAGGGAAUAACCUUGCGAAAGUAAGACUAAUACCCUAUGAUUUCCUUUGAUGACAUCAGAUUAGGAAUAAAGAUUUAUCGGUUAUAGAUGGGGAUGCGUCUGAUUAGCUUGUUGGCGGGGUAACGGCCCACCAAGGCAACGAUCAGUAGGGGUUCUGAGCGGAAGGGCCCCCACAUUGGAACUGAGACACGGUCCAAACUCCUACGGGAGGCAGCAGUGAGGAAUAUUGGGCAAUGGGCGGAAGCCUGAACCAGCCGAGUAGCGUGCAGGAUGGCGGCCCUAUGGGUUGUAAACUGCUUUUAUACAGGAAUAAAGUUAGCCACGUGUGGUUAUUUGUAGGUACUGUAUGAAUAAGGACCGGCUAAUUCCGUGCCAGCCGCCGCCGUAA